rnacentral:misc_RNA from 1 species
GUUGAGUACAUCGGAGUUUCAACGGCGGCGCCGGUGGUCGGAGAUGAGGAUUUGGACUUCUUUGAUGUUUCGGCUACUGCUACGUCUUCUUCUCUUACAAAAUCUCGUGAAUUUCGCUCGGCUGAUUUGGUUUCUGUUGAUAUUUCUCUGUCUGACUCGGGUGUGAGAUGCUCAACUAAUACUCAGACAACUAUAAUUGAUUCAGCUAGAAGCAGUAAUGUUAUCCCAGCUAUUCGUUCGGGUAGCUAUACUGAUAUCGGACCUCGUAGAUCCAAUGAAGAUGAGCAUAUUCGUGUUGAUGAUCUUUCAGCUCAGUUAGGAUCUCUAUACAAUUGGCCUCUUCCAGGUGCCUUCUAUGCUGUGUUUGAUGGUCAUGGAGGUUCUGAUGCAGCUGCUUAUGUCAGG